rnacentral:misc_RNA from 1 species
UCUCCGUUGGUGAACCAGCGGAGGGAUCAUUACCGAGUUUACAACUCCCAAACCCCUGUGAACAUACCAUUUGUUGCCUCGGCGGUGCCUGCUUCGGCAGCCCGCCAGCGGACCCAAACCCUUGAUUUUAUACAGUAUCUUCUGAGUAAAUGAUUAAAUAAAUCAAAACUUUCAACAACGGAUCUCUUGGUUCUG